rnacentral:rRNA from 1 species
UAAUGAUCCUUCCGCAGGUUCACCUACGGAAACCUUGUUACGACUUCUCCUUCCUUUAAAAGAUAGGAUUUACGGUUUUUCCAGAAAAAAAAAGAUAUAAUCCAAUUUUUUCUUGUCCAAACAAUUCAUCAUAUCUUUCGAUCGGUAGGAGCGACGGGCGGUGUGUACAAAGGGCAGGGACGUAGUCAGCACAAUCUGAUGAAUCAUGCUUACUAGGCAUUCCUCGUUCAAGAUUAAUAAUUGCAAUAAUCUAUCCCCAUCACGAUAUGUAUUGAUAAAGAUUACCUACACUUUUCAGUGGAGGAAAAGUACGAAAUAAACUGCAAGCAGCCAUAUCGUAAUUUUAGUAACUCGUUAUACAUAUCAGUGUAGCACGCGUGCAGCCUAGUUCAUCUAAGGACAUCACAGACCUGUUGUUGCCUUAAACUUCCUUGUGUUAGACACACAUCGUUCCUCUAAGAAGCUUUAUGUAAAAGCAAAUACAUUUCUACAUAAAAGUGAAAUGGCAUCAUAAUCCAGUUUUAUGCGGUACAGGGAAUAGAGGGUUGGAAAUAUGCAUAGGCGCCAAGUAUUAUUAGGUACAAGGUAGCAAAAUGCAUUUUUUCCGUACUCAUUAUAUGCACGGCAAAAAAACCUUUUAAAUUAUCCAAAUACAAAUUCAGCAUAGAAAUAUGUUGUAUUUGCCGCUAAUUAGCAGGUUAAGAUCUCGUUCGUUAUCGGAAUUAACCAGACAAAUCAUAUUCACGAACUAAAAACGGCCAUGCAUCACCAUCCAAGAAAUCAAGAAAGAGCUAUUAAUCUGUCAAUCCUACUCUUGUCUUAAACUAGUGAGUUUUCCCGUGUUGAGUCAAAUUAAGCCGCAAGCUCCACGCCUGGUGGUGCCCUUCCGUCAAUUCUUUUAACUUUCUCGCUUGCGCGAAUACUCGCCCCAGAACCCAAAGACUUUGAUUUCUCAUAAGGUACUGAAGGAAGAAAUCUAAGAACUAUCCCCGAAGAGACUAUCCUUAUUUGUUUUACUUUCAUCCAAAACCUAGUCGGUAUAGUUUAUGGUUAAGAUUACGACGGUAUCUGAUCGUCUUCACUCCCUUAACUUUCGUUCUUGAUUAAUGGAAGUAUUUUAGACAAAUGCCUUCGCAGUUGUUUGUCUCCAGAAAAUCUUAGAAUUUCACCUCUGACAUCUGAAUACAAAUGUCCCCAAACUACUCCUAUUAAUCGUAACUAAGCCAAAAAUAAAAAAAAAGAAACAUAGUUUUGACCUGUUCAAUUUUGUUAUUCCAUGCUGUAGUAUUCAAACGCACAAAUG